rnacentral:rRNA from 1 species
UACAGAGGUCUCAAGCGUUGUUCGGAUUCAUUGGGCGUAAAGGGUGUGUAGGUGGCGCGCUAAGUCGGGUGUGAAAUUUCGGAGCUUAACUCCGGAAACUGCAUUCGAUACUGGCGUGCUUGAGGACUGGAGAGGAGACUGGAAUUCAUGGUGUAGCAGUGAAAUGCGUAGAGAUCAUGAGGAAGACCGUGGCGAAGGCGGGUCUCUGGACAGUUCCUGACACUGAGACACGAAGCCAGGGGAGCAAACGGG